ensembl:lncRNA
UCAUUCAUGGAUCUGGCAGUUAUUUAAAGAGUGCUCAUGGAGUAUUCUGGACUGUGUUGGUCUCUGAAGGCAUUUGAAAAGAAGUUAGACAUCUGCCUGUCUGUCCCCUUCUGGCUCUCUAGAAGAUUAGCCCUGAGCUAACAUCCACUGUCAAUCCUCCUCUUUUUGCUGAGGAAGACUGGCCCUGAGCUAACAUCUGUGCCCAUCUUCCUGUACUUUAUACGUGGGAUGCCUAUCCACAGCAUGGCUUGCCAAGCGGUGCCAUGUCCACACCUGGGAUCUGAACUGGCGAACCCCGGGCCACUGAAGCGGAACGUGCACACUUAACCACUGCACCACCGGGCCAGCCCCACUUAACCAACUCUUGAUGUUACCUUCUGUCAUAGGCUGAAUAAUGGUUCCCCAAACAUAUCCAUGUUCUAAACCCCAGAACCCGUGAAUAUGUUGCCUUAUAUUGCAAAAAGGACUUUGCAGAUGGGAUUAAAUUAAGGAUCCUGAGGUGAGGAAGUUACGCUGGGUUAUCUGUUUGGCCUGAUGUGAUCACAAGGGUCCUUAAAAGAGGGACUCAGGAGAAGUCACAGGCAGAGAAGGUGCUGUGAUGACAGGAGCAGACCCGGAGUGAUGAGCUUUGGCUGUGGAAGAAGGAGCCACAAGUCAAGAAAUCCAGGUGGCCGCUAGAAGCCGAGAAAAGCAGGAAACACGUUCUCCCUCAGAGCCUCCAGAAGCGACCAGCCCUGCCAACACCUUGACUUGAGCUUAGUGAGAUGGAGUUUGGACUUCUGACCUCCAGAACUGUUAGAGAAUAGAUUUGUGUUGUUUUAAGCAAUUGUAUUUGUGGUAAUUUGUUACAGUGGCAACAGGAAAUGAAUGUACCUUCCUUGUAAAGGAAUGUGACGUAGUAUAUCUCCUGUGUUCUUAGAGAGGGUGAUUUAAUCUGAUUGGUAAAUUCUGGAAUACUAAACUGAGCCUGAGUGGCUUGGGUUCAUUCUCCUUCCUCUUUGGGAGCCGGUCAGCCCGAAAAAGCGCAAGUUCUCCUUCUUGCAGGACAGGAUCACAUGAUCAGACCUGCUCACCAGAGUCAGUGCUGCUGGGCCUGGCUGGCUCAGUUUAUGUAAUUCUGUGGUUCAGGAUCAGUAAGCUCAUUUGGCUAUCAUGCUAAGCUACAUUCUCCAGUGGCUUUUUAUCAGAAUAAGGUGAUAUUUUGGCCCCCACGACCACUUCUUUGUCUUUUUUCUCUCUUCGUACAUAACUCAAGCAUGGCGAAAGGGUGAAUUUGAAGAUAAUGGAUUGAGCCAAAAAUGAUAUUCUCUCCUCUUCCAGCUCCAAAUUUCUUUUUCUUUUUUGUUUAUAAAGAUUGGCACCUGAGCUAACAUCUAUUGCCAGUCUUUUUUUCUUUUUCCUCCUCUUCUCCCUGAAGCCCCCCAGUACAUAGUUGUAUAUUUCAGUUGUAGGUCCUUCUAGUUGUGGCAUGUGGGACGCCAUCUCAGCAUGGCCUGAUGAGUGGUGCCGUGUCUGUGCCCAGGAUCCGAACCGGCAAAACCCUGGGCUGCCGAAGUGGAGCGUGUGAACUAACCACUCGGCCGUGG